rnacentral:rRNA from 1 species
AACCAGCACCUCAAGUGGUCAGGAUGAUUAUUGGGCCUAAAGCAUCCGUAGCCGGCUUUGUAAGUUUUCGGUUAAAUCCAUGCGCUCAACGUAUGGGCUGCCGGGAAUACUGCAAAGCUAGGGAGUGGGAGAGGUAGACGGUACUCGGUAGGAAGGGGUAAAAUCCUUUGAUCUAUUGAUGACCACCUGUGGCGAAGGCGGUCUACCAGAACACGUCCGACGGUGAGGGAUGAAAGCUGGGGGAGCAAACCGGAUUAGAUACCCGGGUAGUCCCAGCUGUAAACUAUGCAAACUCAGUGAUGCAUUGGCUUGAUGCCAAUGCAGUGCUGCAGGGAAGCCGUUAAGUUUGCCGCCUGGGAAGUACGUACGCAAGUAUGAAACUUAAAGGAAUUGGCGGGGGAGCACCACAAGGGGUGAAGCCUGCGGUUCAAUUGGAGUCAACGCCAGAAAUCUUACCCGGAGAGACAGCAGAAUGAAGGUCAAGCUGAAGACUUUACCAGACAAGCUGAGAGGUGGUGCAUGGCCGUCGCCAGCUCGUGCCGUGAGAUGUCCUGUUAAGUCAGGUAACGAGCGAGAUCCCUGCCUCUAGUUGCCACCACUACUCUCAGGAGUAGUGGGGCGAAUUAGCGGGACCGCCGUAGUUAAUACGGAGGAAGGAAGGGGCCACGGCAGGUCAGUAUGCCCCGAAACUCUGGGGCCACACGCGGGCUGCAAUGGUAACGACAAUGUGUUCCGAAUCCGAAAGGAGGAGGUAAUCCUCAAACGUUACCACAGUUAUGACUGAGGGCUGCAACUCGCCCUCACGAAUAUGGAACCCCUAGUAACUGCGUGUCACUAUCGCGCGGUGAAUACGUCCCUGCUCCU